UACGUAGGUCCCGAGCGUUGUCCGGAUUUAUUGGGCGUAAAGCGAGCGCAGGUGGUUUAUUAAGUCUGGUGUAAAAGGCAGUGGCUCAACCAUUGUAUGCAUUGGAAACUGGUAGACUUGAGUGCAGGAGAGGAGAGUGGAAUUCCAUGUGUAGCGGUGAAAUGCGUAGAUAUCGGGAGGAACACCAGUAGCGAAGGCGGCCAUCUGGCUGGUAACUGACGCUGAGGUGCGAGAGCGUGGGUAGCAAACAGG
rnacentral:rRNA from 1 species